UGAAAUGGACCUCCAAUAGAAUGAGCAAAUGCAGCAAGCUAAGCCAGACUAUUCUUUACGUUUAUUGGGAGGUUACUGACUGAUAAAAAAUUUAACAUUGAGGCCAUGAAAAGUUCCUUUGCAAAUCUGUGUAGACCAGGGCGUGGAAUUCGUAUUAGUGAACUAGACCCCAAGGUGUUUUUGUUCUAGUUCUUCCAUAGGGUGGAUCUUGUUAGG
rnacentral:lncRNA from 1 species